rnacentral:rRNA from 1 species
GACGAGUGGCGGACGGGUGAGUAAUGCUUGGGAACUUGCCUUUGCGAGGGGGAUAACAGUUGGAAACGACUGCUAAUACCGCAUAAUGUCUUCGGACCAAACGGGGCUUCGGCUCCGGCGCAAAGAGAGGCCCAAGUGAGAUUAGCUAGUUGGUAAGGUAACGGCUUACCAAGGCGACGAUCUCUAGCUGUUCUGAGAGGAAGAUCAGCCACACUGGGACUGAGACACGGCCCAGACUCCUACGGGAGGCAGCAGUGGGGAAUAUUGCACAAUGGGGGAAACCCUGAUGCAGCCAUGCCGCGUGUGUGAAGAAGGCCUUCGGGUUGUAAAGCACUUUCAGUUGUGAGGAAAAGUUAGUAGUUAAUACCUGCUAGCCGUGACGUUAACAACAGAAGAAGCACCGGCUAACUCCGUGCCAGCAGCCGCGGUAAUACGGAGGGUGCGAGCGUUAAUCGGAAUUACUGGGCGUAAAGCGCACGCAGGCGGUUUGUUAAGCUAGAUGUGAAAGCCCCGGGCUCAACCUGGGAUGGUCAUUUAGAACUGGCAGACUAGAGUCUUGGAGAGGGGAGUGGAAUUCCAGGUGUAGCGGUGAAAUGCGUAGAUAUCUGGAGGAACAUCAGUGGCGAAGGCGACUCNNCUGGCCAAAGACUGACGCUCAUGUGCGAAAGUGUGGGUAGCGAACAGGAUUAGAUACCCUGGUAGUCCACACCGUAAACGCUGUCUACUAGCUGUGUGUG